GAUGAACGCUGACAGAAUGCUUAACACAUGCAAGUCAACUGGUGGCGGACGGGUGAGUAACGCGUAAGAACUUACCUCACAGUUAGGGACAACAUUUGGAAACGAAUGCUAAUACCUAAUACUGUGAGAGAGCUUUGCGUCCCAUUAGCUAGUUGGAGAGGUAACGGCUCACCAAGGCGAUGAUGGGUAGCCGGUCUGAGAGGAUGAUCAGCCACACUGGGACUGAGACACGGCCCAGACUCCUACGGGAGGCAGCAGUGGGGAAUAUUGGGCAAUGGGCGCAAGCCUGAUGCAGCCAUGCCGCGUGAAUGAAGAAGGCCCUAGGGUUGUAAAGUACUUUCGGUCGGGAGGCGUUACCGACAGAAGAAGCACCGGCUAACUCCGUGCCAGCCGCCGCGGUAAUAC
rnacentral:rRNA from 1 species